AGGAGGCCUGGGGCUCCUGGGGAGCUCCUAGACACUGAGGAGCCAGAGCUUUGCUCAUGCAGGUCUCUGCCCCAAGGAACUUGCUCUGCCUGAUGCUGUGAUCUUUGAGUCAUUUGACCUCUGCCUGGUUGCUGAGGCAGUGUCCUUGGCUGUAGACGGGGUGAGCUGCUGUGAGGGCUAUUUGUUGUUAGCAAAAGCCUCUGGGUGGAAGAGAGAAGGGCUUACUGGGGAGGCAGAGCGCUGCUGGUCAAACAACCUUGAUCGCGGUUUCUGCUGGGGACGCCCCAUGAGGAAGGUCUGCCUUUCCAGCUUGCUCUCCUGAGGAAGUGGUAUGCAGGUCUGCCUGUAGUUGUUCCCUGCCCUCCGGUGUGUCCACUUCUCACUACAGUUUUUUAUCAUCCACAAACUUGGACAGAGCACACUUCACUCCCUCGUCCAAGUCACUGAUGAAGACAUUGAAGAGUAUCGGUCCAAGGACUGAGCCCUGCAGGACCCCACUACCCACGCCCUUCCAGGUCAGUACCGACCCAUCCACUACCCCUCUCUGGGUAUGACUCUCUAGCCAAUUUGCCACCCACUGGACUGUGUAAUUAUCCAAGUCACAGCCUCUUAACUUGUUCACCAGUAUGGGGUGGGAUACCAUAUCAAAGGCCUUCCUGAAGUCCAAGUAUACGACAUCCACCCCUCCUCCUGCGUCGAGGCGUUUUGUAACCUGGUCAUAAAAAGAGACUAAAUUAGUCAGGCAUGAUCUACCUGCUACGAACCCAUGCUGGUUUACCCUCAGCAUAAUUUUUCCUGCUGGGC
rnacentral:lncRNA from 1 species